GAGUCACACACAGAUUCGAGGCGUCGGAUCCACAACAUGUGUGUUUAAGCAGUCGCUGACUGUUCUUAUAUCCUCGAGUGAACCGAAACAUGAAGUUUACAGACAACAUCUCCACCGCUGCAGUGUUUCUGACUCCUGCUGCCAUGAUGGAGAAGAACAGAGUCUUCAGGAUCUCAGUGGCCAUUUCUUCAGCGUUCACACCA